AGAGCAGGGAAAACGGGGCGGAGCAAAGUGUGUGUGCAGGAGAGGAGUCGAGCAGAGAGAGCUGCUUUUUCAUGAAACGGGAGUAAAGUAGUAAACUUACAGGAACAUAUACCACUACCAACGUUUGGAUCGAUAUCUGCAUCGAUCUGCACCCUUGUCUACUGGAUUGUAGCUGAGAUCAGCGUGAACCACGUGGGUCUCUGCUCCCUGAUCUGUUUCCUGUUUGGAAAGACUUCCGGCUUUAUCGCGGAGUUUCUAAAGCUGAGUAACAGGAGGAGGAGAGUCUGGUGGUGCAGCAGGAGAACAAUUUCAGCCAUUUGGACUCAGCUCAGCCACUACAGAGGAAACAAUGACUUCAACACAAAAGGACCAACAUGGAACAAGAAGUCAGCGCUCUCAGGAGGCCGACAAACCUCACAGAAGAAAGC